rnacentral:rRNA from 1 species
GACAGAGGCCUCGAGCGUUAGGCGGAAUCACUGGGCUUAAAGCGUGUGUAGGCGGAAGCGUAAGUACCUCGUGAAAUCCCACGGCUCAACCGUGGAACUGCUGGGUAUACUGCGUUUCUUGAGCCAUUUAGGGGCGAGUGGAACGGAUGGUGGAGCGGUGAAAUGCAUAGAUAUCAUCCGGAACGCCUGUGGUGAAGACGACUCGCUGGGAAUGUGCUGACGCUGAGACACGAAAGCCAGGGGAGCAAACGGG